rnacentral:rRNA from 1 species
UGAGGAAUAUUGGGCAAUGCCCGCAAGGGUGACCCAGCAACGCCGCGUGGAGGAUGAAUGUCGUAAGAUUGUAAACUCCUGUUAGAGGGGAAGAAUAGUACCGGUUGGACCGGUAUAUGACUGUACCCUCAGAGAAAGCCCCGGCUAACUACGUGCCAGCAGCCGCGGUAAUACGUAGGGGGCAAGCGUUGUCCGGAUUUACUGGGUGUAAAGGGCGCGCAGGCGGGAUAAAAAGUCAGUGGUGAAAUCCUACAGCUUAACUGUAGAACUGCCUUUGAUUCUUUUAUUCUUGAGUUCGGGAGAGAGAGACGGAAUUCCAGGUGUAGUGGUGAAAUACGUAGAUAUCUGGAAGAACACCAGUUGCGAAGGCGGUCUCUUGGUCCGACACUGACGCUGAGGCGCGAAAGCGUGGGGAGCAAACA